UGGUGCUUGCACCAGAUGACGACCGGCGCACGGGUGCGUAACGCGUAUACAAUCUACCUUUUGCUAAGGGAUAGCCCAGAGAAAUUUGGAUUAAUACCUUAUAGUAUGCAGACUUCUCAUGGAGAUUGCAUUAAAGAUUACGGCAAAAGAUGAGUAUGCGUCCUAUUAGUUUGUUGGUGUGGUAACGGCACACCAAGACUACGAUAGGUAGGGGCCCUGAGAGGGGGAUCCCCCACACUGGUACUGAGACACGGACCAGACUCCUACGGGAGGCAGCAGUGAGGAAUAUUGGACAAUGGAGGCAACUCUGAUCCAGCCAUGCCGCGUGCAGGAAGACUGCCCUAUGGGUUGUAAACUGCUUUUAUACAGGAAGAAACACUCCCUCGUGAGGGAGCUUGACGGUACUGUAAGAAUAAGGAUCGGCUAACUCCGUGCCAGCAGCCGCGGUAAUACGGAGGAUCCAAGCGUUAUCCGGAAUCAUUGGGUUUAAAGGGUCCGUAGGUGGAUAAUUAAGUCAGAGGUGAAAGUUUGCAGCUCAACUGUAAAAUUGCCUUUGAUACUGGUUAUCUUGAGUUAUUGUGAAGUAGUUAGAAUAUGUAGUGUAGCGGUGAAAUGCAUAGAUAUUACAUAGAAUACCAAUUGCGAAGGCAGAUUACUAACAAUAUACUGACACUGAUGGACGAAAGCGUGGGUAGCGAACAGGAUUAGAUACCCUGGUAGUCCACGCCGUAAACGAUGGAUACUAGCUGUUGGGCUUCGGCUCAGUGGCUAAGCGAAAGUGAUAA
rnacentral:rRNA from 1 species